UCCUCCAGCCUCUCGCUGAUCUCCUCCAGCUCUCGGGACAGGUCUGAGCGCAGCUUCUCCACCUUGGCCCUGGCUGUGCGCUCGGCCUCCAGUUCCUCCUCCAGCUCCUCGAUGCGGGCCUGGCCGGGGACACGGAGGUUCAGACCUGCUUCCUGGACCCCUCCGUGGAGGCCCCCCACCCCAGGGCUCUAAAGGCCCCCUGGUCUACAGAGAACAGCAAGUCCAUGAUGCUCUCCUGGGUCAGCUUCAGGUCACCCUCCAGCUUCCGCUUUGCUCGCUCCAGGUCCAUGCGCACCUUCUUCUCCUGCUCCAGGGAUCCCUCCAGCUAGAGGAGAGAAGGACCAGCUAUGUGCCAUGAGCUCUGCCCUGCAGGUUCGAGAGGCACAAGGGGUGAGCCUCCCAGGGCUGCAGAUAAGACAGCUACUGUUGCCUGGCCCACCCCGACCUGUGUUCAGACGUGGAUGCAAUCUUUGUUCUUGCAAGUGGAGAAAGGGACAGGACAGGAAAAAUCUUCCCUUUUCCUACAGGCCCUGGGAGCGACGCUGGCGCCCAGCCUCUGGACAGAGCACAGGCGGUCCUUGUUCUCCCAGCAUGGCCUUUGCAAGCUUUGCUGCUUGGUGUCUAGGCAACCGCUUCAUGGUUUGGUUUGAAAUCCCCUUUCUUCCCCAGCACAGCUCUGAGCGCAUGCGGAUUAAUCCAGCUGCUUGGAUGUCAGUGUGAAGGAGAGAGGCAGGCCUGGGGGAUGGGGUCCAAAGCAGACCAGCAAAAUGUACAAUAUCAUCGUGAGAGCAAUGAAGAGUGACUGCAGCUCCAGACCAUGUAGCAGGUGAGAAUUGUGGCCUGGCAGGUAGGGCUGGUGGCUGAGAGCUGGUUACCUUGUGGUGGUGUGAGAUGCCAUGAGCUUGGAGACAAGAGGAAAGACUCAAGAGAGACCCACAGCCCAAGGAAGAAGGAAAGGAAAGAAGAAGCCCACAGAGACUAGACGGAGAUGGUAAGAUCUGACCGGUCUACAGCAAUACCGGUACCAGCUUGGGUUCUCCCAUGCCCUGGCUCCAGUGGGACUUUUGCCUGUCUCCUCAGGCCCAAUCAUUGAAGUGGCUUCCAGUCCGGUACCACCCACCUAUCCGAGACACAUAAAAGCAAUCAAGGGAAACUUUGGUGGCACCUCAGAUCUGCUCAGUCACACCGUUCUUGUGUCUCCAGUGUUUUUCAAGAGAUGUGUGUCUAAGGAGUGUCGGAGAGCAUCACAUAUCCCGUUAGUGGCUGUUAACAUAUGGAUACGUGUGUGUGUGUGUGCAAUCUUAGAGUCUCUCAGUCAUCAUUCCCACACUGCUAUAAUCACACCAUUUGUAUAACUUCAAAUGUUACACUAAUAACUAUAAAAAGAGGAUUAAAAGGGGCUUGGUGCUGGGGCCCAGCUCAGCGGAUAAAGUGUUUGCCUCAAAAUCAUGAGGACUGGAGUUUGAAUCCCCAGAACCUACAUAAAAGCAGGUGUGGUGGCCAUGUGUAAAGGCAAGUGGGUGUAGUGGCCAUGUGUAAAGGCAAGUGGGUGUGGUGGCCAUGUGUAAAGGCAAGUGGGUGUGGUGGCCAUGUGUAAAAACAGGCGGGGGUGGUGGCCCAUGUGUCGCUCCAGUGUUUGAAAGUCCAGGACAGGGGAUCCUUGGAGCAAGAUGGCUUUUUAUAUAGAGACCCUGCAAAUGAGUUUUGUGCUCAAUUAAGAGACCCAUCCUUGUCGGGCGGUGAUGGCGCAUGCCUUUAAUCCCAGCACUUGGGAGGCAGAGGCAGGUAGAUCUCUGUGAGUUCAAGGCCAGCCUGGUCUACAGAGUGAGUUCCAGGACAGCCAGGGCUAUACAGGGAAACCCUGUCUCAAAAAAAAAAAAAAGAAAGAGAAUAGCUUGUUUUUAAAAGGGGGGCUGGAGAGUUGGCUCAGCGGUUAAGAUCACUGGCUGCCCUUCCAGAGGACCUGGGUUUGAUUCCUAGCACAAACAUGGUAGCUCACAACCAUCUGUAAUUCCAGUUGCAGGAAAUCUGUUGCCCUCUUCUGUCCUCCAGAGACACUGAAAGCACAUGGUACACAGACAUGCAUGCAGGCAAAACACCCAUACAUGUAAAAUAAUUAUGUAAAUAAAAUCUUUAAAACAAAUAAGGAAUGUCUCCUAAAUAUAAAGACACAGAUAUAUUCAAAGUGAAAGGACGGAUCUGGCGGUGAUGGUGUGUGCCGAUAACCCUGGUUUUCAGGAGGUAGAAGCAGGAGGGAAAAGAUCCAGAAUUCAAGAUCAGUUUAGGCAGAAAAAAAAAAAAGUAAAAGCAUGAAAAAUAGACACAACCAAUACUGACCAAAACAGAGAUGGAGUAAUUACAUUGAUUUUAGACCACAAGGACCUUUAAGGAAAGAAAAUUAUCAGGGGUAAAGAGUGGCAUUAAAUGAUAAGGAGGUCAGUUCUCCCGAAGACACAAUAGUUCUUACUGUUGGCUACUGAAGUGCCAGGAAAAAGCCUCACCUGUGUUAAAGAUUCUUUAGGCUGAUUAACUGAUGAGAAGUUCCGUGUUGGGAAGUGUUUGGAAUGUUGCAGAUCUAGAGCCGACUUAUCUUGGCUAUCAUUAGCCCUAUUAAUAGCCAUCAGAGCCCACUUCUGUGUCUGGCCUAGCAUCCUUGUGAGUAUCAGGUGACAUCUUUUGGAAUAUACAGUUUCCACCAACCCAGAGCUGAGACGAUCAUCAGCUACACCUGCCGCCCAAGCUCAGGCUUCUUUGCUGGGCCUGCCUACCUGAUGAUCUCAUCGAUGCAUUGAAAAGGGUCUUGAUUCAGGGUUUUCUCUAUUCUUUCAUUAUAACAACUUCAUCAAACUAUUGUCAGGUUGAAACACGUAUUGGGUAACCCGAAUCCAUGUUCCCAGGUCAUAGCCACUCAUAAUUGGUUCCAGAAUAAACCAUCCCCUAUUCCCUUUGAAGUGAGAGCUAUGUCCUUGUAUCAACACCUAACAAGAAAGGGUCAGAAUAUAUGAGCAAAAACUUCCAGAAGUUCAAGAGAUCUAGAUAAAUCCACUAUCACAGUCGAUGAUUUCAACUUCCCUCUACUAAAUGAUAGACCUCAGAAGCAGAAAGUCUCAAAGGCCUAACUGAACCAAAUAGCAAUCAAUUAACUAGCUCUAACUGGCUAGUAAAAAACACUUUCUCCAGCCGGGUGGUGGUGGUGCAUGACUUUAAUCCCAGCACUGGGAGGCAGAGGCAGGUGAAUCUCUGAGUUGGAGGCCAGCCUGGUCUACAGGACAGCCAGGGCUAUACAGAGAAGGUCUGUCUUGAAAAAUCAAAACCAAACAAAACAAAGCCAAAAACCAAAUAAGCAAAACUGAAUGGACCAAUAUGUUGCAUUUAUAUAUACUUAUGUGUCUAUUUAUACAUUUGUAUCUGUCUAUACAUAUGUAUAUACAUGAAUACAUAGAUGUGUGUGUAAAACAAUAAUCAAGAAGAAAUCAUGAAGUUGAGAUGGAGAGGGAGGACACAGAACGAGUUGGAGGAAGGAGAAUGUUGGGUAGAAAUUGUGUAAAUACGUACACAUAUGAAAUUUUCAAAAGUGAUAAAAGAAAUGUUAACAACUGCUGUGGAUAUCGCUCGAUAUAAAUAAAGCACUGAUUGGCCAGUGACCAGGCAGGAAGUAUAGGCGGGACAAGGAGAGAGGAGAAUUGAGGAAGGAGGAAGGAAAGAGGGACCGGCUGGAGCCACCGCCAAGACAAGGAAGACGUAAAGUACCGGUAAGCCACGAGCCACGUGGCAAAGUAAAGAUUAAUAGAAAUGGGCUGAAUAUAAGAGUGAGAGCUAGACAAUGAUAGGCCUGAGCUAAUGGCCAAGCAGUUUAAAUAAUGUAA